rnacentral:rRNA from 1 species
GGAAGGAUCAUUACCGAUCAAAAGUCCAAGCCAAACAAACUUGGUCACACCGCGAACCCGUACGAAAGGUUGGGGGUAGUCCGUGGAAACUGGACUUAAAUGACGACACCGGCGAAUCGCCGUCGGCUCGCGGCCCCCAAUUUGAUUUUUUAUCAAACACGCACAUCGUAACUUACCGAGAAACAAACGUUAACAAAACAAAAAGUUGACAUAACUUUUAACGGUGGAUCUCUUGGCUCGUGCAUCGAUGAAGAACGCAGCCAGGUGCGAUAAGUAGUGUGAAUUGCAGAAUUCAGUGAAUCAUCGAAUCUUUGAACGCAAAUGGCGCUCCUGGGUCUUCCCAGGAGCAUGUCUGUCUGAGUGUCGGUUUCCAAAAACUAACGCUCCCGAGCUGCUCUAGGGUGGCGCGCGGAGCGGCGUUGAGGUGUCACGGCCCGUCUUGAACUGGGCCGUGUCCCUUGAAGUGCAGCGGGACCGAUUCGCUCGUGCUUUCGACGCGACAUCGGGGUGGCCAAAGAUCUUCUUAACCAUCCUCGGUCGUGGCGCUCGAACUCGGCGCUGGUCCCCUCAAAACAAUUCAAUCCUUGACCUCAGAUCAGGCAAGACUACCCGCUGAAUUUAAGCAUAUCAAUAAGCGGAGGAAAAGAAACUAACAAGGAUUCC